rnacentral:rRNA from 1 species
AUACGUAGGGGGCGAGCGUUGUCCGGAAUUACUGGGCGUAAAGAGCUCGUAGGUGGUUUGUCGCGUCGUCUGUGAAAUUCCGGGGCUUAACUCCGGGCGUGCAGGCGAUACGGGCAUAACUUGAGUACUGUAGGGGAGACUGGAAUUCCUGGUGUAGCGGUGAAAUGCGCAGAUAUCAGGAGGGACACCGGUGGCGAAGGCGGGUCUCGGGGCAGUAACUGACGCUGAGGAGCGAAAGCAUGGGUAGCGAACAGGAUUAGAUACCCUGGUAGUCCAUGCCGUAAACGGUGGGCGCUAGGUGUAGGGGUCUUCCACGACUUCUGUGCCGUAGCUAACGCAUUAAGCGCCCCGCCUGGGGAGUACGGCCGCAAGGCUAAAACUCAAAGGAAUUGACGGGG